rnacentral:tRNA from 1 species
GACUUAUUUAUUAAUCCUGUUUGUAAAACAAGAUCAGGCGUAGCCAAGAGUCA